CCUACGGGAGGCAGCAGUGAGGAAUAUUGGUCAAUGGACGAGAGUCUGACCCAGCCAAGUAGCGUGAAGGAUGACUGCCCUAUGGGUUGUAACCUUCUUUUCUAAGGGAAUAAAACGAGGCACGUGUGCCUUUUUGCAUGUACUUUAUGAAUAAGGAUCGGCUAACUCCGUGCCAGCAGCCGCGGUAAUACGGAGGAUCCGAGCGUUAUCCGGAUUUAUUGGGUUUAAAGGGAGCGUAGGUGGGUUGUUAAGUCAGUUGUGAAAGUUUGCGGCUCAACCGUAAAAUUGCAAUUGAGACUGGCAGUCUUGAGUACAGGUGAGGUAGGCGGAAUUCGUGGUGUAGCGGUGAAAUGCGUAGAUAUCACGAAGAACCCCGAUUGCGAAGGCAGCUUACUAAACUGUGACUGACAUUGAUGCUCGAAAGUGUGGGUAUCAAACAGGAUUAGAUACCCGAGUAGUC
rnacentral:rRNA from 1 species